rnacentral:rRNA from 1 species
UAAGCCUGCGAAGGUGGCCUGUGAGGGUUGCUGGAGGUAUCAGAAGUGCGAAUGCUGACAUAAGUAACGAUAAAGCGGGUGAAAAGCCCGCUCGCCGGAAGACCAAGGGUUCCUGUCCAACGUUAAUCGGGGCAGGGUGAGUCGACCCCUAAGGCGAGGCCGAAAGGCGUAGUCGAUGGGAAACGGGUUAAUAUUCCCGUACUUGGUGUUACUGCGAAGGGGGGACGGAGAAGGCUAUGUUGGCCGGGCGACGGUUGUCCCGGUUUAAGCGUGUAGGCUGGUUUUCCAGGCAAAUCCGGAAAAUCAAGGCUGAGGCGUGACGACGAGGCACUACGGUGCUGAAGCAACAAAUGCCCUGCUUCCAGGAAAAGCCUCUAAGCAUCAGGUAACAUCAAAUCGUACCCCAAACCGACACAGGUGGUCAGGUAGAGAAUACCAAGGCGCUUGAGAGAACUCGGGUGAAGGAACUAGGCAAAAUGGUGCCGUAACUUCGGGAGAAGGCACGCUGACACGUAGGUGAAGUGAUUUACUCAUGGAGCUGAAGUCAGUCGAAGAUACCAGCUGGCUGCAACUGUUUAUUAAAAACACAGCACUGUGCAAACACGAAAGUGGACGUAUACGGUGUGACGCCUGCCCGGUGCCGGAAGGUUAAUUGAUGGGGUCAGCGCAAGCGAAGCUCCUGAUCGAAGCCCCGGUAAACGGCGGCCGUAACUAUAACGGUCCUAAGGUAGCGAAAUUCCUUGUCGGGUAAGUUCCGACCUGCACGAAUGGCGUAAUGAUGGCCAGGCUGUCUCCACCCGAGACUCAGUGAAAUUGAACUCGCUGUGAAGAUGCAGUGUACCCGCGGCAAGACGGAAAGACCCCGUGAACCUUUACUAUAGCUUGACACUGAACAUUGAGCCUUGAUGUGUAGGAUAGGUGGGAGGCUUUGAAGUGUGGACGCCAGUCUGCAUGGAGCCAACCUUGAAAUACCACCCUUUAAUGUUUGAUGUUCUAACGUGGACCCGUAAUCCGGGUUGCGGACAGUGUCUGGUGGGUAGUUUGACUGGGGCGGUCUCCUCCUAAAGAGUAACGGAGGAGCACGAAGGUUGGCUAAUCCUGGUCGGACAUCAGGAGGUUAGUGCAAUGGCAUAAGCCAGCUUGACUGCGAGCGUGACGGCGCGAGCAGGUGCGAAAGCAGGUCAUAGUGAUCCGGUGGUUCUGAAUGGAAGGGCCAUCGCUCAACGGAUAAAAGGUACUCCGGGGAUAACAGGCUGAUACCGCCCAAGAGUUCAUAUCGACGGCGGUGUUUGGCACCUCGAUGUCGGCUCAUCACAUCCUGGGGCUGAAGUAGGUCCCAAGGGUAUGGCUGUUCGCCAUUUAAAGUGGUACGCGAGCUGGGUUUAGAACGUCGUGAGACAGUUCGGUCCCUAUCUGCCGUGGGCGCUGGAGAACUGAGGGGGGCUGCUCCUAGUACGAGAGGACCGGAGUGGACGCAUCACUGGUGUUCGGGUUGUCAUGCCAAUGGCACUGCCCGGUAGCUAAAUGCGGAAGAGAUAAGUGCUGAAAGCAUCUAAGCACGAAACUUGCCCCGAGAUGAGUUCUCCCUGAGACUUAAAGUCUCCUGAAGGAACGUUGAAGACGACGACGUUGAUAGGCCGGGUGUGUAAGCGCAGCGAUGCGUUGAGCUAACCGGUACUAAUGAACCGUGAGG